AUUUUUGAGGUGUGACAAAAAUUCUUAACUACCUCCAUAUCCGACCCAGCAAGCCAGGCUCUCUAAAACAUCCCAAGAAUGUAGACAACCUAAGAACUCUGUCAUAUUCCAGGGUUAUUUUCACUUCUUCUACUUUGUUGAAAUGGUACCAUGUGAAGCAUCUUUCACAGAACAUCUCUUGAAACGCAAGACGAUGACUGUUCUUGGAUGAGAGUUGUUCCUGAAUAAGACUUAACUUGUGGUGAUGAUUUUCUUGAUAAAGCUUGUUCUAAACAAUGGCUCGUCUAGAAAAAAGAAAAAGAAAAAAAAAGAAGCACAAUUGUUCUAAAUAUAAGUUGUUCCAAACAAUGGUUCUUCUAAACAUAUCUAUUCCUAAAAGUCAUUUUUCUAAACAAGAGUUGUUCUGAACUUUAGCUGUUCUCAAUAGUAGUUGUUCUCAAAUAACAAUUACACUAAAUGAUAGUUGUUUUAACUAAAGCCUUGUUCUGAACAUAGUUAUUCUCGAACAAUAAUUGUUCUGAACAACAACAAUUCUAAAUAAGAAUUGUUACUUCGGAAAAAAAUACGCUUGAACGCAAAAUAUCUGAAAUAUAAUAUUUUUUAUUUCAAGAAAGAGAUAGAAUAUUAGCGACUAAAAUUGAAUAUGUAUAAACACUUUUAAUAUUAAUAUAAAAAUUGAAAAAAUUUGAAUUCGUGUAUUGAAUAUCAUGGAAAUAGAGCUAACUCGAAAAAAAAAAACCUUUUAUCUUAAAUCAAACUUAAAAUUUAAAAGCCAAACUUUAGCUUAAUUUUGAAUCUCAAUUUUUAAUCAAAUUCCAGCUUCUUACAUGUACAAACAGGCACAAAUAUAUGUGUGUGUACGUAUAUAGUUUUUGACCUAAAGAUUAUAAAAACGUGGAAGCUAGAAAAUUUGUGUGCAGUUUAGUGUAAGAACUGAAAUACAAUGAUUUUUCACCUCUUUUGGGAUUAAGGAAUAAGGAAGGAGAAUUUCCACUCACAAUCUCCACAGCUAUACGUCUUGAGAUCUAUAUUUUCUUUUCUUUUCGUUUCUUUUUUCUUGUUAAAUAUAACAUAAUAAUAAAUUUAGCUUCUAACAAUUACUUCCUUUUUUUAUCAUUUUGGUGUUCAACUUUCAAAUUUUAGUUAAAUUAUUUUGUAUGAAUAUAUUAAUUGAACAAUUAAAAUUUUAAUAAUAUUGACAUGGUAACCCACAUAUACUUCAUUACUAAUGUGGACAAAUUUUAAAAAAAAAGAUAUGAAAUUUUUGAAUUUAUAAUUUUUCAAUAUUUUAUAUAUAUAUUAUUUUACGGAGUACAUGGGAGUCGUCAUGUAGGUUGCCACAUCAACACCUUUAAAAUUUUAAUGGCUCAAUCAAUUUUUCUAUAAAAAAAAAGAAUUAUGAUCAAAGUCAUGAAAGGGAUUAACGUAAGCGAUUAAAUUUGUUAUUAUACCUAUAUAAAACACAACUUUGACACUGAGCUCUCUCAAGGUGUUUAUUCGAUGGAAGGAACUCUCAAGUGCUUGAGAAAACUAGUGAGAGCUUGCCUCUAUUUAUAGAAGAAAGUAUGAGCAUAAAAAAGUUUUGGUUAAAGGGUAAAAAAAAGUUCUUAGUAAAAAUAUAGAAAAUAAGUUAAACCCUUAUAGAAAGUAUGAACAUAAUUGAGUCCUCAGUGACCUCAAAAAAUCAAUUGGUCUCAUUCAUUAAGGAACACUAUCAUUAAUCGGUUUGACCGUUAAUGGUUGUUGACGUGACAAAAAAAAAAAGCAAUGAAAAACUAGCACCUAACAUGAAAUGUGGAGAAGUAUGCUGACAUGAAAACUAUUAAACUUGUUUAGGGGUUGAGCUACCCACCCAAACUUAAAGGUCCACUUGAAAUUUGGGAGGAAUUGGGCAAAACAAAUUAGGUCUGUUUAAAAUAUAAAAUGGGUCUAGGCUCAAGCAUUCAAGGCCUGAGCUCGCCUUGACCCGUUUCUAAGUUUGUAAUAUACUAUAUUAGGUUAUUUUAUAUAUAUAUUAUGUAACUUAUGUCACAUAAAAAUUAAAUUUAUAGUAAUAAUAAUACUAUAAUGUAAACAUAUUAAAAACAUUAAGUUGUAUACAAAUAAAAUUUUAAUAAAUAAAAAGUAUAUAACUUUAUUAAAUAUUAAAUUAAAAUAUAUAAAUAUUUUUUUUAAAUAAAAAUAAUAUGGGCAUGCCAAAAUUGGACUUGGAUUAGUCAUUUAUAUAUGAGUAGAUUUGGACAAAAUUUAGACUUAUAUUUCGAAUCAAGCCGGAUUUGGCAAGUAUGAAAUGUGUUAAUAUCAUGAUAACCUCAACUUAGAUCCAACUCAACCCAUGAAUCUCUAAAUGCCACAUCCUAAAGAAUUUUAAAAAUAAAAAUAAAAAUCCUAAAACAAUAAUAAAUCUAAAAAAAAGAGUUUUAAAUUUUACUAAAAAAUUGCAGAUCCAUAAUGAACUGGACAAAUUAGUGUCCAAGUUGAUUUGAAUUUCAAGAUUCAUUUUGAACAAACAUAAAAUUAUAAAAAUUAUUAAUUAUUAAUUAUUAAAAAUUCUAAAUAUAUAAAUAUAUAAUUAUAUGUGGUGAAUAUAAUAUGGUGCAAAAUAAAACAACAAAUGAUUAUAUAUAUAUAUAUGCUAAAAUAUGGUGGAAUGAACUUUUAUAAUUUCACCCUUUUAACCUUUAACCUAAUAUUUUAUUAUAUCUAAAUUGAAAUAAAAUAAAUAUGCUCCCAAAUUACAGUUCAAAUAGAAAAAAAAAAGUGUUUUCACCAUAUAAGGUAAAACUUUUUCCUUGUUUUUUAGCAUAAUACUUACUAUAUUUCAACCAUGAUAAAAUAAAAUAAACUCAGCAAUUACAGUGUGUUUUCACCAUAUUUUUGCACAUAUAUAGGCUAAAAGCAAGGUAAAGGAUAUUUUCACAAUAUAUAUAUGUAUAUAUAUAUAUAUAUAUAUAUAUAUAUAUAUAUCACCUAUCAUUUUUAUUUUGCCAUAUUCAUCACCUGCUUUUAUAUAUAUACAAGCAGUUUCUUUUUAGAAUUUUUAAUAAUCAUUUUAUUUUUUUUAUAGUUUUGUGUUCGUUAAGAAUGAAUUUAGACAAAUUAAUGUAUAGACUGAAAUGAAAUUGGACAUCAUUUUAUCCAGAUUCAUUCUAGAUGCAUAUUUUUAUUUUAAAUAUCUUUUAUAAUUUUUUACAAUUUUUUUAAUUUUUAAAGUUUUUGGUGACAUGACAUUCCACAUGUAAGUUCUUCAUCGCUUUCUCAAUCACAUCAAUAUUCGGUAACGAUCAAACAAGACAAUGAAGUAUUUCGUUAAUGAAAAAGACCAAUUAGGUGCACUUCUUCUAUAAAGGCUUAAUUGAAUUUUUUAUUUUUUUAUUAAAAGUUUUUUUUUAUCUUAGCCUAAAAAAAUAAACAUAAAAGAAUAACUAACAAAAACUAUAGAGACCUUAACAAAGUUUGAAGAUAGAUUUUUUCAGUUAAAAUUCUCUUUCCUUUUCCACUCCAUAAUCCAAAAACAAAAACAAAAACAAAAACCCAAAAACGAUUGUAUUUGAACUUUUUGAGUGCCGAGUUAUCCUAGAAGUAUUCUGCCAAACCUUAGCUCUCAUAUAUUUUGAGAAAUAAUUUUUUACCAUAUUCAGUUAAAAAGUAUAUAUAGAUACUUAGUUUUGGUUACUAAUAUUUUAUCUCUUCUUAAAGAUAAAUAAGAUUAUGUUUCAUGAAAUUGCGCUUCCAAGGAUAAUACAAAAGUUAACUCGAAAUAAGUGGCAUUGUUUCUUCACUUGAUCACUUCUAAAAGAACAACUCUUGUUUAGAAUAGUUGUUCAAAAGAAUAAUUGUUUGAGAAGAGAUAUGUUCGGAACAACUAGGUUUAGAAGAGGGCUCCAAUUUAGAACAAUUGCCAUCUAGAGUAACUGUCAUUUGAGAACAACUAAUAUUUGAAACAACUCUUAUUCACCUGGUGUCGAAACCAUUUUUAAGUUUGAAAAAUGGGGGUCGACUUUUUAAAAAUGGAAAUGGGAGUUGCCACCGACCUUUUAUUGAGGUGUGAUCGGAUCACCAUUUAAAAUGAAUUUGGUCUACGAAAUUUUGAGAAAAUAGAUUCGGGAGUCGAUUAUGCACGAGGAAGGCUUAGCACCCUCGUAACGCCCAAAAUUGGUACCGAAUUGAUUGUUUGGUAUCUUAAUGUCGAAAAUUUGAAAAGAUUUUAAAAUAUCAUCCUUGAAUGAGAAAACUUGAAUAAACUAAAUUGAAUGAUAAGGCGCACUCAUUUCGCAGAAAUAAAUUGCCACACUCAGUGAGUUAGGGUGCAACCAUUCAAUCUUCGAAAUUAGAUUUGUCCCUUUUUUAAGAAAAUCAUGUACUUUAAGAAGGAUAUUUGAUUAUUUAAGUCAAUUGAGAAAUCAGAAUCCAGUAAGUUAGGGUUUACUUUUUCAAAAUUCUUAAACAUCAAACAUUGCCUUUAUUUUAAAAUCGAGAUAACAAAACGUCAUAUCCAGUAAGUUAGAAUCCAACAUUUUGAAAUCUUAAGAACUUUAUUUUAAAAAUUAUAUGGUUUAAAUAAAAUGAACACUUGAUUAUCUAAAUGCAUUGAAAAAAUUGAAGCCCAGUAAGUUAGGGCACAAUUUUCUCGGGAACUAUGAACACCAAGCCUUUUUAGAAAUUAUGAAAUAAAAUGAUUGUAGUGCUUUAAUAAGAUACAAUUCUUACAAAUGGAAGAUGAUUGAAUAGUAAUACACAAUGCAAAAGAUAAAUAACAACCCAAAUAACAGAGAUAAAUAAAAAUUGAUUUAACACAAACAUAUAACAUAUAAUAAUCACACUAAGAUCAAAACAAUAAUACAUCUAUUUUAGAAAUGAAUAAUUUAAUAGGUUAUAUAUAUAUACAAAAUAAUAGUAUUUAAAGAAUAUUGUUAUGUAAAUAAAAAAGAAUUUUAAAAUAUAGCAUUAAAAUAAAAUAUUAAAAUAUAUAAAGUAUAUCAAAUUCUUAUGAAUAUGUAUAUAUAUUGAAAGAAUGACAGAACAAAUAAUAACAUGCCAAGUUUGCAAAUAAAGUAUAUAAUAGAUUUUUUAAAUAAUGUAUGAUAAAUUUUAAAAAAUAAUAAUUUAAAAUAAUAAUAUAUCACAUCAUAGAAUUAUAUUAAUAAAUUUAAAAACAAUGUCGAAUUGAUAUUAAAAUAUGCUAUAAAUAAAUUUAAAAUAGAUGCUAAUCCAAUUUGUAAUUAUGCUAUUAGAAUCUAAAUUUAAAUUGAAACUUAAUUUAAAGUACAGAAAUAAUAAUAAUAAUAAUAAUAAUUGUCGAAACCGUUUUUUGAAAAUAAAAAUUUUAGUUGUCGACUUUAAAAAUAAAACAGGAGUCGCCACCGAUCCUUUAUAAAGGUGUGAUCAGCCCACCUUAAAAAAUGAUUUUGGUUUGCGAAAUUUGAGAAAACAGGUUCGGGAGUCAGUUACGCACGAGGAAGGAUUAGCACCCUCGUAACGCCCAAAAUUGGUACCAAAAUGAUUUUUGUUAAUGUCUUGGUGUCGAAAAUUUGAAAAGAUUUUAAAAGGAAACUCUUUAUUUCAUGAAUAAAAAAAUAGUAAGACAUUCAUAUUUCAAAGAAAUAAAACACCACACCCAGUGAGUUAGGGCAUAAUGUUUUUAAAUCUCCAAAAUACCCGAAUAUUGCCUUUUGCUUUUGAAAAUUCUUAUUUCGAGAAGAAAAUGUCAUGACCAGUAAGUUAGGACCCAACAUUUUUGAAUUCCCGAGAAUAAGCUUUUAUUUGAAAUUUGUGGAUUUAUUGCAAAACAAAUACUUAGCUUUCUAAAUUCAUCGAAAAAUAAUCGCAAUCCAGUAAGUUAGGACACGAUCUUUCUCGAGAAUCAUGAAUGCCAAAUAUUUUGAAAAUUUAUAAAAUAUGAUGAUUUUAAUGCUUUGAGAAAAUCAAAAUAUAUUUUUUAAAGGGAUGCUAAAAAAGGGGUUAAGGUAUAACAUGAAACGGGUACUCUAAUUUCAAACAUAUAUGAAUGAAUAUUUACAAAGAUAUAUACAAGUAGGUAUAAUGUACAAAUAAAUUUACAAAUAAAAAGAAGGAAUGAAAUACAUCAAACCAAAAAACUAAUAAAAAAUGCAUGUAUAUAUGUAUAUGAAAAUCAUGAAAAUAAAAUAAAGAUAAAAAAAUGUAUAUGUGUAUAUAUUUACAAAAUAAAUAAUAAAAAAUGUAUAAGUAUAUAUAUAAAAUAUAAAGUAUAUAAAAGUUUUAAAAAAUAUAAAAAUAUAUAUAUAAAACGUAUGAAUAAAAUAUAUGCAUGUAUUCAUAAAAGCUUAAAAAUAUAUAUAUUAAAAAAAUGCAUAUAUAUUAUAUAUAAAAAUAUGUGUAUGUACUAUAUGAAAAAAAUGCAUAUAUAUAUAUAUUAUGUAAAAACCAUGCGUGUAUGAGUAUAGAAAUAAUGAUAAUAACCAUAAUAAUAAAUAAUAUAAUAAUAAUGAUAAAUAUUUUUAAAAAAAUAAAAAAAAUAGCUAAAAUGGACUAAAUUGAAUUAAAAACGAAAAAAUGGGGCAGAUUCGAAGCAAAUUAAAGAUAGGACCACAUUGAAUGCGAACACAACAAAGGAGGAUCAAAAGGGAAAUUAUUCCCACCUUCCAAAACGCUGCGCAGCAAUGGGCCAGAAUGGAACAACAACACAACAUGCGGGAAAAUUUAAAAGAAAUCAGAAAUUCAAUUUAGACGCACUGCAAGAAUAGGGGACCGAGCGCGCAAAUAGACCAUUUAAGGUCAGACGCACGGAUUCCCCCUUUCCAAACAGCACCGUUUCGUCUUUGCUUUAAAGUCUUAAAAAAACAAAAUUAAAACUAAAAUAAAGUUUCAGAUUCUUUCCUUCCUGAAAGAAAAAUUUUCUAGGGUUCCCUCAACCCUUUGAGCGCCGCCGCUCCCCUUUGCGCCAAGGCUCCGAUUGCGACGGAGAUGGCCACGACUCGGCGGGUUCGACGUAAAGGUAAGUUUUUUCCUUCCUUUUCUUUAUAUUUUGAGCCAAAAAAACAUAAAAACAAGACAAAUAACUUACAGAACGAUGAACACCAAAACAAAAUAAAACGAGGGAAAUCACCUUUAUUCAAAGAAAAUUUUCUAUUUCUCUUUAAUCUUUUUCUCUGUAUUUUUGUAUCUUUUUCUCUUACCGAAUUCCCCCCCCCCCUUUUUGAGUCCAUGGAAUAGGGCUUUUAUAGCCUAAAAAUAAUAGAAAGAAGAAGAAAAAAAAACUAUUCUCUAUUCGAAAUCUGUUAUUUUUCCUUCUUUUUUGUUGCUAUUUGUUCCUGUUUGUUGCUUUUUUGGGUUGUUUGUAGGUGCGUGCUUGGAGGCGUGUGCGAGAUUCGCGGCGGGCGGCGCGAUCUGCGGAGUGCAAGGGGGACUGCUGGGCGUGGGAGCGGCGCGCACGUAGGGGGUGGUUGCGGCUUGCGACGACGGCAGAGAGGCUCUUAGGGUUUCUGCUAUUUUUUUGUGGGCUAGGCUUAGUUUGUUGGGUCUAUUGGGCUGUUUGAGUAUUGGGUUUGUAAAAAUUUGGGCCUUUAUUUUUUUGCAUGCGGGCCCGGGUAGAUUGGGCUUAUUACAAUAAUAAUAAAAUGUUUAUUUAGCAUAAAAACAAUAAAUAUUUACAAAAUUAAAUGGAAUAUAUAAAAAAGAAUAAUAAAAAUGAUUGAAUUAAAAUUACAAAGUUUGAAGGACUAAAUUUACAACCAAAUCCAAAACUAAGGACCAAAGUAACAAUUAAGCGCACAACUUCAAGAAUUCAAAUCCAGAGUACGAAAACGCCACCGUUUGAUCUUGGACCAAAAUGAAAUUAGAAUAACGAUAUAGUAUAAAUUAAAAAAUCGAAAGAAAUCGAAUUGAAACCAUGCAAAACAAAGGACCUAUUGUGUAAAUAAACCUUUGAACAAAAUUGUGCGGAUCUUUCCCCGGUCGGGUCACUGCGAGGAUCUGCCUUCAAACGACGCCGUUUUGAAACCAUCGUCUUGGCAU
rnacentral:lncRNA from 1 species